GGGGGUACAGCUCAGUGCUAGAGCAUUCGACUACUAAUCGAGUGGUCCGUUGUUGAACUUCGUGUGCCCCCU
rnacentral:tRNA from 1 species